GAGACAGGAAGAGAUUAAAGGAAAAGGAAGACGGAGGAAAAAAAUCGCCAACAACCCACUUGUAGUUGCAUUUUAGAAUGACCGGAAGUGGAUGGACAAAGAAAAAGUACUUUCUAAGACAGGAGGGUAUAAGAAAAGGUGGUAUCUGUAUCAAACGUAUUGAAGUGAUGGAACCAAUUACACCAUACCGCAGUCUACAUACAUAGUGGCAACAACUACCCAACAACAACCUAUCCGAGCAUGUGGGCCAAAGAAUAAGAAUAAUUGACUAAUGAAAAUUUUGAUUCCCUCCUCCCGCUUAUUUGUAAAAGAUGCAUCGAGUCUGCCUUGGAAUCAGAGCCGGAAUGACGAACAAGGAGAUUUCAGACUACCACAACGUCGGCAGAAAGAUGGAGGAAAUGGUCACAAAGGAGCUGGAAGAUUCAAGAUUCGAGUGAGAAUCGACAGCAGAGAGUAAAACCCAUGAACAAAGAUCUGAGGCCGGAAUUCGUGGAGGAAAUCCAGGAGAUCAUCAACAAUGACCCCAGCUGGUCUAUGCGAGCCAUUUCAAGGGAGAAAGGAGUGAAUGAAAAACUCAUCAGAAUAGUGGUGUGUGAGAAUAUUCGCUACUUUUCACAUAAGAUGAGGAAGGAACAAUUUUUGUCCAAGGUAAUGCAGGGAAUACGACUCAAGCACACCAAGAAGUUGAUCAAUAAGUUGAAACACUCAGUGAAGCCAGACAUGCUGUGAUCCUUCUCCAACGAGAUAUAAUUUCUGCCAAGACCAGAACAUCAACUUCCAGAACAAAAGAUGGCUAGCUGUCUCACCCAUAGUCGUGCCAGAGUCAUGCAGACGAAAUUUCCAUAGACAAUCAUGGCCUUCGGUGUCAUCAGCAGUGAAAGUGAUGUCAGAUCACCCCACUGAAUGAGAUAAUGAAAUAAUGAAAACAAUGUCUGACCAGGUAGCCGUACGUGUGGCAGCUUGAUUCUGUGCCCCACCACACCAGCCUGCAGAGACAGGCCUAGCUGUCGGAGAAUUUCUUCGAUCACACAGCACCUGACAUUUGACCCCUCAACUCGUCUGACUGUAAAACUCUUGACUUCUUUGUGUGGAUCGUGGUGGAAAGAGAGACCAACAAAUCUAACUGCAACAUGAAGGACGAGAUGAGGGCAUUGGGGGGGGGGGCUAAAAUGGGAGAUAGUGUCGAAGGCCUGUGGACACUAUAAUAUUCAAAUAUAACC